rnacentral:rRNA from 2 species
AACGCUAGCUACAGGCUUAACACAUGCAAGUCGCGGGGUAACAUCUGGUAGAGCUUGCUCUUCCAGGAUGACGACCGGCGCACGGGUGAGUAACGCGUAUCCAACCUGGCCCAUACCACGGGAUAGCCCGUCGAAAGGCGGAUUAAUACCGUAUGCUGUCAUUAAGAUGCAUAUAUUGAUGACGAAAGGACUGGCGGUAUGGGAUGGGGAUGCGUCUGAUUAGCUUGUUGGCGGGGUAACGGCCCACCAAGGCGACGAUCAGUAGGGGUUCUGAGAGGAAGGUCCCCCACAUUGGAACUGAGACACGGUCCAAACUCCUACGGGAGGCAGCAGUGAGGAAUAUUGGUCAAUGGGCGCAAGCCUGAACCAGCCAAGUAGCGUGAGGGAAGACUGCCCUACGGGUUGUAAACCUCUUUUGUUUGGGAAUAAAGUGCGGGACGCGUCCCGCAUUGCAUGUACCAUUUGAAUAAGGACCGGCUAAUUCCGUGCCAGCAGCCGCGGUAAUACGGAAGGUCCGGGCGUUAUCCGGAUUUAUUGGGUUUAAAGGGAGCGCAGGCCGUGGGUUAAGCGUGUCGUGAAAUUCCGUCGCUCAACGGCGGACGUGCGGCGCGAACUGGUCCACUUGAGUACGCGGGACGUUGGCGGAAUUCGUGGUGUAGCGGUGAAAUGCUUAGAUAUCACGAAGAACUCCGAUUG